AUAAUUCUAAGAAGAAGGUGAUAUUUCUCAUAGGAUUUAUCUCCUGGGCCAGUCCUCAUGGCUCCUUUCUGAGUUCCGUGGGGUGCGGGUUAUGAGGGAGUGUCAGGUAUUCAGAUACUCAGGAAGAGCUGUUUCAUGGAUGCUUUGCAAGGCACAGGGAUAUGGAAGCUUGCCAUGUGGCAGCACCAAGAGCUACAGAGGUCUGUAUGCCUGAGGUCACUCCUCUCUUAAUUGUCCUGAUGACCAACAAAAAGAGUCUAGCUCCAGGCACGCUGAGGUUGAGGGAGCUUUUGAAGUUGGAGUACAGGCAACAAAAGAUAUGGGAGGGCACCUAAAUCUCUCUGAUUAUUACCUUGGGCCUGGUAGGGGCCUUAACGUCUCCCAUGACCGAUGUUUUGUUAUAACGUUGAUGAGAAAAAAAAUCAAUUCCUGGUUGGCGCCACUGUCUGUGUGGAGUUUACAGGUUCCCACAUUCUCCCCAUGUCUGCCUGAAUUUUCUCUGAGUACUCCAGUUUCCUCCUACAUCCCAAAGCUGUGCACAUCAGGUUCACCUGGUGUGUCUGAAUCGUCUCAGUGUGAAUGAGUGUGAGUGUGUAUGUGAAUGUGCCCUGUGAUGGAAUGGCAUCCUGUCUGAGUUGGUUCCCGUCUUGCACCCUGAGCUGCUGGAUAGGCUCCAGUCACCUGCUACUCUGAACUGGAAAAAUUGGGUAAAUAAUUGUCUCACUUGUUCUAUCAAUCUUUCUUAAAUGUAUAUAUAAUUCACAUUUAUUUCAAUGUUUAAUAUUAGAAGUAUUUUGGUCUUUACUUAGAAGUCCAGUGAUGUUUUUGUGACCAAAACUAUGUCAUAGGAAUUAACUCUUCCUUUUAUCAAUUAGCUUAUGAUACAAUGGGUUUUGUUACAUGUUGUCUUUCUUAAAGUUACAGUUUCCAGGAGGCUGUGAAUGACAUGAAGUGAGACUUACUGUAUCUGAAGAGUCCCUGAAGGAGCUUCCUGCAAUUUUCCUUAUAAGGGUCUGUUAGCUGUAGUUACCAGGUGGUAUCAGCUCAGUCCUUUCUCUUUGGCCCCAGUUCCCUUCUGUCCCCCAUUGGCUGUUUGCAAAGCAGGAGGAAAAAGGCUUUCCACACUCAUAGCCCGUCUUGAGAAUGCCAAUGUCCACAUCUGGACUACUUCCUUUACACUCUCCCAAACCUCCUGAUCCUCCAGGUGCUGGAGUGUUUCUGGAGUUAAUUGUACCUGGGGCCUGAGGUAGUGAUAUGGGGGUGGGGAUGGAGCAUACUACUCUUUGUCACAAUGUGUCACUCAGGCCCAGCAACAGCUGUGCUUGAAUUCAGCUGCAUGAUGAAAUUUCUCUUGAACAGUUAAAUCAGCUGCUUUUCUGACUGCUCUCCACAUGAAGUUCAAAAACCCCCAAAGUGAGCCAGAGAAAAUUCCUUUUUGAGAGGGCUGCUAUGCUGAGCCUGUGAAUAAUUACUCCUUACUUAAUUUUUUUCUAGACUAUUUUAACAAUAGAACUACGGAUUUUUCUUUAUUGCUACAUGGCAUAAGAAUCGAAGGAAAAGGCUCUGUGAGAUUUCUUUCCCUAGAAAGGAGGUUUUUGGUCAAGCCAUUAUUAGGGUCUAAUGGCUGAGUUCAACACGUGCUUUUAAGCUGACCAGCAUUAUCCACCCUCGUUCAUAUAUUGAAAACACACAUACAUGCAUGUAAACACACACGCGCGCACACACACAAACACUAUCUGGCUCUGUCUUGUACAGAGGAAGAAUAGGCACAAUUCUAUCCCCUUCAUACUCUGCUUUCUUUCUCUCCCCUGCCAUCCCUGACUCAACCAUAAAUAUAAAGUUCCUUUCUCCUUCUCAGGUAUAAAAGAGUGGCUCUUUUUUGCAUGUGUCUAAAUAGAGACAAGUGGAAACUAGGGGAUUCUUCUGAUGUGUGAUGAAUAUGAACAUUUAUGUAUGCAUUCCAUGUGGGAACAAGACCUAGACACCGGUGGACAGCAGCAUGCAGCUUAAAAGCACGUGAUCCUUAAAUGAAGAUUUUGAAAAGAGUGGGGGAGGAAAGGCAGUGAAGAGGGAAGUCAAGACGGACUUAUUCCUGCUUGAUUUCAAGAUGAAAAGACUGUUCAUCCCUGAAAAUUCCACGGGGAAUCAGAGGGAGGGAGAGAAACAAGUCCUUGUUUGUACAGAACUGUUCACAAAUGUUAUAUCAUGGGGUCAGAUUCACAUACUGGGUAAACCUUGAAGAAAAAAUUCCCAAGGGAUUCCAUAGGAUGUGAAGCAGGCCAAAAACUUUGUUACUUGUCUUUUUGUCCCGUGAGACCUACACAUCAACAGUUUUAAAACAGAAAAGUAGGAUAGUUAGUACCUUUGAAGGGCCACUCCAGAUGUCUAGGUCCAACUAAAUUUGUCUACAAAUUUCUAUGGUUAUUUAUAGCUUCUUUUUUAUAGCUUUAGGAUCUUCAGUAAGGCUGAGACUUAAGGGAGCUGUUUCAGAUCCAGGAGAAAUCAUAGAAAUGUGUACGUGUUCCUACUAGUCUAAUCCUAUCCCCAAGGCCAAAUAGGGUGGUGCAGUAUGUGUGGCUUAUUUUUCAUAGCUCCAGGAAGGACAAGUGAAGAUUCAGGAUGAAACAGAACUAAGUCUGGCUAGGCUAGUGACAAACACUUAAAUUACCUAAGUCAUAGAUUAACCAGUAAAAAAUGAUUUCUGCUCCCAGCUCAUACCUACUGGGACCAGAUGAUAAUGAUGGUGAUGACGAUAAUAAUGAUGAUGAUGUCAAUAUUUUUUGAGUAUUUGCUAUGUACCAAAAGUCUUUUGCACUACUCAAAAGACCUGACAUACAUUGUUUUAUUAAAUUCUCACAAUAAUCCUAUAUGGUAGCCUUUGCUAUUCCUGUUGUAAAGAUGAAGAAACAGAGGUUCAGUAAAUUCAAUUAACUUGUUCAAGGUGGUACAGCUAGUAGAUAAGCCUGGAAUGUGAAUCCAAAAGGGUCUGACUUGACCAUUGUCCUACAGUGCCUCUCUAUUAGUAACUCAAAUCAGACAUCCUAGUUGAAGUGUAAAGUAAGGCUGGGGAUAGAACUCUCAAUAAAAUGGUGACUUUACUGAGGGUGACUCUCAAUAAAAUGAUGCAUUACAUAAGGGAAUAGCCAGCAUUUCUCCAUUUCAUGAAAGUUCCUUCUCACAGUGGAGCAAGGAUUCUCUUCUCUCUUCCAUCUUUUGCCUGUCAUCAAAACUGGCUGUCAAGUAAGAAUUUAAUAUACUCAUUCAAAGUAGGCAAACUGUAAUAAAAAUGGUGAACUGGCUCAUGACAAGAUUUGGAAUCUCCACAGGGAGCAAAAUCUUGAGUCCAACAAAUUAAUCCACAGCAGCAGAUUUUCAGAUUUGCAGAGUUAAGUGAGUAAAAGAGACAUGUUUUCAACUUGGAAUAUGGGGAGUAAGUGGGGAUGUGGCUUUUUUCCUUCUCGAAUCAACUCAGUAGGUGAACUCUUCAUGCAACUGAAAAGUGCAUUGUGAGUUGAAAACCUCUAAAAUAUAUCAGUAUACCCAUUCUGAGCUUCCUGCAGACUGACUUAAAAAAUUGCUCAACUUCUUUGCUAAGAAUGCAAAGAAUAAUUUGGAUAUGCCUGAGUACUGUCCUGCCCCACAACCUCUUCAAAACAGCCUUUGAAAUCUAUUAGCAUCAAAAAAUGCCCUUCGGGGUACUAGGCCUGUUUAUCUUGAAAAGUUCCUCUCAGACAUCCUGGCAGGGGAUGGGAAAAUGGUUCAGCCACUCACAGUUCUUAUGCCCUUCGAAUUCUAGUAUUUGUAUUUGUCUGAGUCGAUUCUCUUCUGGAUGUCUUCCCUAACUAGGCUUAAAGACCCUUUCUCACAAACCUGCUAUCUUUUUUUUUUUCCUUCUUCUAGUUUUUAUAAUGAUUUGUUUGGUUUUAGGUCAUCAGCCAGAGAAGGGAUAAAUGCCCUGUAAAUUAAAUAUGCAGAGAAAGCUUUCUUUCCUCAUCUCCUCAAUGUCAAGAAAAAUCUUCAAUCUUAAAAAAAAAAGAAAGAAAGAAAAGAAAAGAGUUGCUAUUUCUGUGGGAUCAAAGAAAAAUAAUUAUGAUUUCGUAAUGCCUUAAACAAAACUUUGGGUCCUAUGUAUUUGUUCAGAAAUUAAAACUCAAAGAUCAUUGAUUGCACAAUGCCACUGUUUUGUAAAUAGCUUUAAUCCACUUUACAAUUCUCCCAGUUCUAAAUUUGUGCUCCUAUCUUCCAAGGCCCAUCAUUUUCAUGAGUCACCAGUCGUGAGCAGUGCAAGUUUUUCUGAGAUCCAGCCAAACAACGCCUGGGCUCCUCAGUGUUUACACAGACAGCCCUGGCUAGUCUAGUAAUCAUUGUCUUGUUUCCUUAUAGGAAAAGCUAGAAACGUACAGGGUAAACAGGGCAGCAACUAAUAUAUACUGAGAAUCUACUAUGUGCUAAGCACACUGCUGUGCACUU
rnacentral:lncRNA from 1 species